AGUGAACGCUGGCGGUAGGCCUAACACAUGCAAGUCGAACGGCAGCACAGGAGAGCUUGCUCUCUGGGUGGCGAGUGGCGGACGGGUGAGGAAUACAUCGGAAUCUACUCUGUCGUGGGGGAUAACGUAGGGAAACUUACGCUAAUACCGCAUACGACCUACGGGUGAAAGCAGGGGAUCUUCGGACCUUGCGCGAUUGAAUGAGCCGAUGUCGGAUUAGCUAGUUGGCGGGGUAAAGGCCCACCAAGGCGACGAUCCGUCGCUGGUCUGAGAGGAUGAUCAGCCACACUGAAGCUGAGACACGGUCCAGACUCCUACGGGAGGAAGCAGUGGGGAAUAUUGGACAAUGGGGGCAAGCCUGAUCAAGCCAUACCGUGUGGGUGAAGAAGGCCUUCGUGUUGUAAAGCCCUUUUGUUGGGAAAGAAAUCCAGCUGGCUAAUACCCGGUUGGGAUGACGGUACCCAAAGAAUAAGCACCGGCUAACUUCGUGCCAGCCGCCGCCGUAA
rnacentral:rRNA from 1 species